ensembl:lncRNA
GUCACAACAAUUGACUGAAGGAAACUAAAGGCUUAAAUACACACGAGGUGAUCAGGGAGAUGAAACUCAGGAACACAGGUGAAAUCUGACUAAUGAGAGAGAGGAAGCAAAACUGAAUGUAGGGAGACAGGGGACUAACAAUAUAAAACAGGAAGGAACACACUGAGACUGAGACAUGACACUGGGACUGGGGAUAAACAGACAUGGAGACAGGACAGACUGGGGACACAAAAGGAUGAAACACAGAGAUGAAGAUGGGAACAGGGAAAAAACAAACCCACAGAAGUUUAGAUAUAUUAACUAAAACAGACCGCAGACGCCCACAGAAAGGGAACAAAGAGACACCAGACAGACAUGAACACGACUGGGGAGACUGGAUGUAAACCAACACAGAGACACUGAAGAAACAAAACAGAGACUAAACUAACAGACUGGACACAAAAGGACAAGAAAUUUAGAACUGGAAAAAUUAAACUCGGAGACAAAAGAGCGUAGCAUAUUCAGGAAGUAGAACCUAAAUGAACUUAUAACUUUCAAAGAAAUAAUGAAACUGAAAAUAUUGGAUCAAUCCUACCAUGACAGAUGUAGGAUAUUUUUUUCAGUGUCACUAUCUAGCUCUGUUCAUUUGCAUGUAUCACAUGUAUUCCUACUUUUUGUGUUUGCGCCUACAGCCUCAGGACACACUAGUACAAAUAUUUUGUUUACACUCUGGAUCAGGGGUUCCCAAUUCCAGUCCUCGAGAGCUACCGUCCUGCAGCUUUUAGAUGCAUCCCUGUUCCGACACACCUGAAUCAAAUGAAUGGCUUGUUAUCAGGCCUUUGCCAAACUUGAUUGCAUGCUGAAGAGGUAAUCAAACCAUUUGAUCUGGUCUGGAUGCAUUGAGUAGACUAUUUCCUUUUCAGUCACCUUUCUCACUCACUAUGUGUUAAUAGACCUCUCUGCAUUGAAUCAUACUAUUAAUCUCUGUCUCUCUUCUACAGCAUGUCUUUUGUCCUGUCUUCCUUCUCUCACCCCAACGGGUCGCAGCAGAUGGCCCCGCCCCUCCCUGAGCCUGGUUCAGCCGCAAGUUUCUUCCUGUUAAAAGGGAGUUUUUCCUUCCCACUGUCACUGCUUGCUCAAUCGGGGGUCAAAUGAUUGUUGGGUUUUUUCUCUGAAUGUAUUAUUGUAGGGUCUACCUUACAAUAUAAAGCGCGUUGUGAUUUGGCGCUAUAUAAAUAAAAAUAAGUUGAAUUGAAUUGGAUGGGAUAACUUUCUCCAAAAUUGAAAGGAUAAACGACGUACUGGACAAUUUCUGAUAAAAUCAAAAAUAAUCAAAUAAUUAAGGCACUAGACAGGUGUACUUAAUCAUGUGGCAAGUGACUAAAUACAGCUUUGUAAUAAAAAAAUAAAAAAUAAAAAAUCGAUGGGAAGCCCCUCAGUGUUGAGCUUUGUGUCAGUGUCACUGCAAAUUUAGUAGGUGAGUUGCAGACGGAUUUUAUAGAAACUGCAGUCAGUUAAAUGAGAUGAAUUAACUCCAAACACUCUGUUUUAGGAAACGACAAAAAACAUUUCAAGAAAAUUUUGAUUUCGAAAUUGAAAAUUCAAGAUAAUAUAAACAAAACAAAACCAAAAAAAACCCAAAAACAAAUAAACGGACACUUAAUUUUUGUCUCUAGUAGAAAACACCUCUCAAAGCAGAGGAGUAUGUGUUUGAAGGAGGGACCACAAAAUUUGAAGUUCCUGGUUUGCAAACAGAGAAGAAAGAGAAGCAGCAUUAAACAUUAAGCCGUCAGAACCUCGAGAUGAAACUCUGUCACAUUUUGCUCUACUCCAUCUUCCUCUACCUGCAGGAUGGAAACACUGGACUUGCCAACGCUGAAACUCCCGUCUAUGAAGGAGUGGAAGGAGGAAACAUCACAGCUGAAUGCCGGAUUUAUUUCUCUGGAAGCACGAUGUCACUCUGCAAGGAAAAAUGUGAAACAGGAAACGUUCUCAUUGAAACAACUGGUUACACAGCUCAGAGCGGCAGAUACAGCAUUAAAUUUGAAAAAAAUUAUUUUUCAUCAAAUAUUGUGUAUGUGAGCAUCACACAGCUACAGAAGUCUGACUCAGGACAGUACAUGUGUACUUUGGGUUCAAAAUCAGACAAUUUUAACAUUGUUGUCACAGAAGGUGAGUCUCUGCUAAAAAAUCUUAUUCAUGUCCGUAAAGAUGUGAAAUUCUCACUGACCACACCCACUUUUCUUUCAAAUAACCUACAUGUGUCAUAUUUACACUACAAGUUUAGUUUAAUGAGUUGCUGUAAACACACAUUAACCCCUAUUACUCACAUGCAGACAGAAAACCUGCUUCAAGCAGGAUUGUUAUUCUGAUUUUUCUUUGUUCACAGCUUCAGAUACUUCAACACCAAAUCAGCCUUUAUCAACAUCAACAUUUCUCCUGUCGGCCUCCACAACAACAACAACACAGCAUUUGAACUUCAGUUCAAGAAGCUUCACAUCUUUAGCCUUCUCUGAAGUCUCCAGACAGCCUCAAACAGCUACAGGUUUGUCCUUGGAGCUGGUUAUACGUUUAUCUGUGGUGGUGGUUCUGCUGCCUGUUGUUCUGCUGCUCAUCUACAGAAUCACGGCCGAGGGCUCUAACGGUUUGAACAGCAGGAGACACUCAGCACAUGACCACACUGAGAUUGGUCUCAGUGAAAUCGAUCGUCCAGUGUCCUCAUGUGAAGACUCGACCUACCAAAGUCUCAAUACAGCGAGCAGAGAUCACGACCAAACCUACUCUACACUCAGACACAAUAACCAGUUUUCAGACAUGAACUCCUGUCAAACUGAAUGACUGCAUGAGCAUACCAGUCAUUUUCCCAUUAAACCAAGUUACCAGGGUCAGUGAUGAAGAUUUCAUCAUCAAAGAGGAGUAAAAGCAGGAACGAGAUUAUGGACCUCUUAGAAUCCACAUGUCAAUCUCAUCCAUGUCAUCUUCUCCCAUUACUUCAUGGGAGAAGAUGACAAACCAGUAUCAAACCAGUAUCACAACCAAACAUGUAAUAGACACGCCGCCCUCAGGCCCUCCCAGGUGUGGGGGCCUAAAUUCAAUUCAAUUCAAUUCAGUUUUAUUUAUAUAGCGCCAAAUCACAACAAAAGUCGCCUCAAGGCGCUUCACCACACUCCCUGCCGGGUGGCUGAUGCUCUCGGACGUUGGUGUGCUCUCAGUCAUGCGUGCUACACAAUAACAUUCAAUAUUUAGUAUUUAGAGUUACCUACAGUUAUCCAAGUUAUUGCUGUGAUGUCGUGUUUAUUGUGUUGCUCUCUUUUUGCUUGUUUUCCUUUUUUUGUUCUCUCUCAACAGGUGAUCCAGCAGAUUUAUUUUUUGAUUUUUUUUUAGUGUCUUCUCUCACUGUCCCUCUUCUCCCCUGUUUUUCUUUCCCUCCCUUUCUUUCUAUCUCAUUUUCCUACUCCCAAGUCUGUCUGUCCUGUCUGUAAUAACUUAAAAUAAAAUAAAAUAAAUACAUUAAAUAGAAAGUAAUAGACACGCCGCUCCACUGGGUCCAUUUCGCGCUUUGCCUCUCCAAAACAUGAAAUGUACAAGCAUGCAGAAGUUGCAGUAACAGCAGAGGGAAAUUUUGUUUGAAGCCAACAUGAAAAUAAUCACGUGAAACCCUUUAAACAGACGCUAUUAACAUAUUUACAUGUAUAUGCAUAUUAGCCGCCUAGCUUAACUUCUUUCUGAUGAUUAAGGACGAAUGUACUUCAUGCGUUUGUCCUCGCUACCAACUUCGUGUCUUUACAUAUAUUACUCCCCCUGCUGGUAAUGCAACUUCUGCAUGCGUGUCCAUUUCACAUUUUGAAGAGGCAAAGCGUGAAAUAGACACAGUGGAUUACACAUUUUACCAUGAUAUCGGCUUGAUCCUUUAGCCACAGUGUAAAUAAAUGACGUACAUGGAUGUUCAGUCUGCCCAAGUCAUCUAUUAGAAGGUCUGUUUUUUAUUUAAAAUAAAAGUCAUUUCAAAGUUUCUACCUUUUUGGAAUCACUCGUCUCGUAACUCCAAACGCUCAGUUUUAGGAAACAACAAAAAAACAAAGAAAUUUUGAUUUCGAAAUUGAAAAUUCAAGAAAAUAUAAACAAAACAAAAAACAAAAACAAAUAAACGGACACUUAAUUUUUGUCUCUAGUAGAAAACACCUCUCAAAGCAGAGGAGUGUGUGUUUGAAGGAGGGACCACGAAAUUUGAAGUUCCUGGUUUGCAAACAGAGAAGGAAGUGAAGCAGCAUUAAACAUUAAGCCGUCAGAACCUCGAGAUGAAACUCUGUCACAUUUUGCUCUGCUCCAUCUUCCUCUACCUGCAGGAUGGAAACACUGGACUUGCCAACGCUGAAACUCCCGUCUAUGAAGGAGUGGAAGGAGGAAACAUCACAGCUGAAUGCCGGAUUUAUUUCUCUGGAAGCACGAUGUCACUCUGCAAGGAAAAAUGUGAAACAGGAAACGUUCUCAUUGAAACAACUGGUUACACAGCUCAGAGCGGCAGAUACAGCAUUAAAUUUGAAAAAAAUUAUUUUUCAUCAAAUAUUGUGUAUGUGAACAUCACACAGCUACAGAAGUCUGACUCGGGACAGUACAUGUGUACUUUGGGUUCAAAUUCAGACAAUUUUAACAUUGUUGUCACAGAAGCUUCAGAUACUUCAACACCAAAUCAGCCUUUAUCAACAUCAACAUUUCUCCUGUCGGCCUCCACAACAACAACAACACAGCAUUUGAACUUCAGUUCAAGAAGCUUCACAGCUUCAUCAACCUCCUCUGAAGUCUCCAGACAGCCUCAAACAGCUGCAGGUUCAGAUAAGCUGCUUCAUGUGAUUCUGAUUCUGGUCGCUAUGAUCACCAUCUUAUCAGCAGCUUUGCUGAUUUUCUACAAGCACAGGAAGAAUAAACCAAAAGGACCUCCUGUGAAAACUGAACAUGCUGACAUCACACAGGCCAACUGGCUUUAUGGAAACAUCACAGAGGAUGAAACUCAGAACAGUGUAAUUCCUGUGCGGGUGUCUUCAGUUCAUGACUACCCCGAAGGCUCGCAACCAGAUGGAGUUGAAAACCAAGAGCAUUACAGCCUCGUCACCGCUCCUCAGAACACGGUAAAUAAAAUCAUGGUUUGAUUUUAAACUCUGAGGUCAGAAACAAUGACCGGUGCAGCAUUUUGGGCAGUAAACUAAUUCACUAGUUGUCUGGAUGAAUCAAGCUGACAUAGCAACAGGCCACUUUCUGAAGCUUGUAUUGAAAAGGGUUCAUUACUCGAAGGUUUUCGACACAGUGCUCUUUGGUGACAUCUGGUGGCCAAAAAUAUGAAGCGCAGAGCAAUUUAAUAUGAACUGCUUCAUUGUGAUUACCCGCUCGACCUGAGCUAACAGCUUCUGUUUAAUAUUAUGUGACAAUUCUGUGUGAUAUCGGACUAUCGCUGUGGUGCUUUGAACAUGUACUUUUGAAGGAUGAAAAAGAAAUGUUAUGUCUAUUUGAUUAAUAAAUAAUUUUAAUGAAUAAAUAUGUGACAUGAUGUGUUCUCCCUUUGCUUUUGACUUCUUGACAUUUGUAGACAUAAUAGAUAAAAAAUAAAAUACAUUAUAUAUAAUAAUGUGCUACUACAGGUGGGAAGUAACUAAGUAGAAAUACUGUUUUAACUUGAUAAAAAAAAAAAAAAAAGGUCCAGCUGCUGUAUCUCACAGGGAGAGAAACAAAAGAGAGCUAACUUCACUCAGAGAUGGAGAAAAAUAAGAAAGACAGGACAGGUGAGGAAGAAGAGAGGUUAGAUUUAAAGGUAAGGACUCCUCAUUUAAAGCUUACAUGUAAGUCCUCAUGUUUUAAAAUCAGAUGCUGGGUCUGUAUACAUGUGACAGUAUGAUUUUUUUCAUAUUAAGAAACAUGCUGCUAAACGAACUGAGGUAGAUUAACUGUGUUGUUUAAAGGCUGCAGUAAAAUCCUCUGUAGGUUAGUGCAGGAUCUGUACUGUGAUGGACUUAAAGUAAAAAACAGUGUGUGACUGUUGCACAGUGGCUGUGGUUUCACAUCAAAUUUAGCAGAGAUGAAUCUGAAGUUAAGCUCAUGAUGCUGAGAUUCAUUCACUGAAUUCCACCUUCAUACCGACUAUAUACCAUCUAGAAAAACAGACAGCAUAAACAGUGUAGAGGAUGGAAACCAGCCAGGACAACUCGUGAAAUAUCCCUUGACAUCUGUUUGAAUUAAGUUGUGUACAUUCACAAAGAGCAGCAGGUCAGCUGAUCACAGCCUGUACACUAAGAAAAUCUACUGAAGCUCUAAAUAGCAAUUAUUGUAAGUUAUGAUUAAUUUCCUCACACUGAGCCAUUACAACCAGUUUUAGGGUUCCCCACCUGCUAAAUCUCACUUUAACCCAGUGGUUCUCAGACUUCUUACAUCAUUCCCCACAUGGCAGGAAGAAAUAUUUUCACGCCCCAUCUAAACAAAACAAUGACAGACAAGCCUAGCUGCAACUUUAUUUAGAUAAUAAAGUCAUUCAAAAUGAAUCCUUCAGUAAUUUUUCAGUUUUAAACAAACAACUUUCAUUUCAAAUAACUAUUUGUAACUUUUGUCACAAGACUGCUUCAUUAGUCUGCACCACUUCUUCAAAAAAGCAACAAGUUCAACAAAAUGUGAACAUUUCCAAACAUGGAAAAAUAAAGUUCAGUCUUUGUCUUAUAAAAAAGAAAUCCAGAAACUUGUGAACAGAGAUGAAAAAUACAUAAUUUAGUGAGAGAUUAAU